CUGUGAGCUCGAUGAGUAGGGCGGGACACGUGGUAUCCUGUCUGAAUAUGGGGGGACCAUCCUCCAAGGCUAAAUACUCCUGACUGACCGAUAGUGAACCAGUACCGUGAGGGAAAGGCGAAAAGAACCCCGGCGAGGGGAGUGAAAAAGAACCUGAAACCGUGUACGUACAAGCAGUGGGAGCACAGAGCAAUCUGUGUGACUGCGUACCUUUUGUAUAAUGGGUCAGCGACUUAUAUUCUGUAGCAAGGUUAACCGAAUAGGGGAGCCGAAGGGAAACCGAGUCUUAACUGGGCGUUAAGUUGCAGGGUAUAGACCCGAAACCCGGUGAUCUAGCCAUGGGCAGGUUGAAGGUUGGGUAACACUAACUGGAGGACCGAACCGACUAAUGUUGAAAAAUUAGCGGAUGACUUGUGGCUGGGGGUGAAAGGCCAAUCAAACCGGGAGAUAGCUGGUUCUCCCCGAAAGCUAUUUAGGUAGCGCCUCGUGAAUUCAUCUCCGGGGGUAGAGCACUGUUUCGGCAAGGGGGUCAUCCCGACUUACCAACCCGAUGCAAACUGCGAAUACCGGAGAAUGUUAUCACGGGAGACACACGGCGGGUGCUAACGUCCGUCGUGAAGAGGGAAACAACCCAGACCGCCAGCUAAGGUCCCAAAGUCAUGGUUAAGUGGGAAACGAUGUGGGAAGGCCCAGACAGCCAGGAUGUUGGCUUAGAAGCAGCCAUCAUUUAAAGAAAGCGUAAUAGCUCACUGGUCGAGUCGGCCUGCGCGGAAGAUGUAACGGGGCUAAACCAUGCACCGAAGCUGCGGCAGCGACACUUAUGUGUUGUUGGGUAGGGGAGCGUUCUGUAAGCCUGCGAAGGUGUGCUGUGAGGCAUGCUGGAGGUAUCAGAAGUGCGAAUGCUGACAUAAGUAACGAUAAAGCGGGUGAAAAGCCCGCUCGCCGGAAGACCAAGGGUUCCUGUCCAACGUUAAUCGGGGCAGGGUGAGUCGACCCCUAAGGCGAGGCCGAAAGGCGUAGUCGAUGGGAAACAGGUUAAUAUUCCUGUACUUGGUGUUACUGCGAAGGGGGGACGGAGAAGGCUAUGUUGGCCGGGCGACGGUUGUCCCGGUUUAAGCGUGUAGGCUGGUUUUCCAGGCAAAUCCGGAAAAUCAAGGCUGAGGCGUGAUGACGAGGCACUACGGUGCUGAAGCAACAAAUGCCCUGCUUCCAGGAAAAGCCUCUAAGCAUCAGGUAACAUCAAAUCGUACCCCAAACCGACACAGGUGGUCAGGUAGAGAAUACCAAGGCGCUUGAGAGAACUCGGGUGAAGGAACUAGGCAAAAUGGUGCCGUAACUUCGGGAGAAGGCACGCUGAUAUGUAGGUGAAGUCCCUCGCGGAUGGAGCUGAAAUCAGUCGAAGAUACCAGCUGGCUGCAACUGUUUAUUAAAAACACAGCACUGUGCAAACACGAAAGUGGACGUAUACGGUGUGACGCCUGCCCGGUGCCGGAAGGUUAAUUGAUGGGGUUAGCGCAAGCGAAGCUCUUGAUCGAAGCCCCGGUAAACGGCGGCCGUAACUAUAACGGUCCUAAGGUAGCGAAAUUCCUUGUCGGGUAAGUUCCGACCUGCACGAAUGGCGUAAUGAUGGCCAGGCUGUCUCCACCCGAGACUCAGUGAAAUUGAACUCGCUGUGAAGAUGCAGUGUACCCGCGGCAAGACGGAAAGACCCCGUGAACCUUUACUAUAGCUUGACACUGAACAUUGAGCCUUGAUGUGUAGGAUAGGUGGGAGGCUUUGAAGUGUGGACGCCAGUCUGCAUGGAGCCGACCUUGAAAUACCACCCUUUAAUGUUUGAUGUUCUAACGUUGACCCGUAAUCCGGGUUGCGGACAGUGUCUGGUGGGUAGUUUGACUGGGGCGGUCUCCUCCUAAAGAGUAACGGAGGAGCACGAAGGUUGGCUAAUCCUGGUCGGACAUCAGGAGGUUAGUGCAAUGGCAUAAGCCAGCUUGACUGCGAGCGUGACGGCGCGAGCAGGUGCGAAAGCAGGUCAUAGUGAUCCGGUGGUUCUGAAUGGAAGGGCCAUCGCUCAACGGAUAAAAGGUACUCCGGGGAUAACAGGCUGAUACCGCCCAAGAGUUCAUAUCGACGGCGGUGUUUGGCACCUCGAUGUCGGCUCAUCACAUCCUGGGGCUGAAGUAGGUCCCAAGGGUAUGGCUGUUCGCCAUUUAAAGUGGUACGCGAGCUGGGUUUAGAACGUCGUGAGACAGUUCGGUCCCUAUCUGCCGUGGGCGCUGGAGAACUGAGGGGGGCUGCUCCUAGUACGAGAGGACCGGAGUGGACGCAUCACUGGUGUUCGGGUUGUCAUGCCAAUGGCACUGCCCGGUAGCUAAAUGCGGAAGAGAUAAGUGCUGAAAGCAUCUAAGCACGAAACUUGCCCCGAGAUGAGUUCUCCCUGACUCCUUGAGAGUCCUGAAGGAACGUUGAAGACGACGACGUUGAUAGGCCGGGUGUGUAAGCGCAGCGAUGCGUUGAGCUAACCGGUACUAAUGAACCGUGAGGCUUAACCUUACAACGCCGAAGGUGUUU
rnacentral:rRNA from 1 species